rnacentral:rRNA from 1 species
AGGAUGAACGCUAGCGGCAGGCUUAACACAUGCAAGUCGAGGGGUAACAGGAAUAGCUUGCUAUUCGCUGACGACCGGCGCACGGGUGCGUAACGCGUAUAGAAUCUACCUUUUACUAAGGGAUAGCCUUUAGAAAUGAAGAUUAAUACCUUAUAGUAUUAUAGACUGGCAUCAGUUUAUACUUAAAGAUUUAUUGGUAAAAGAUGACUAUGCGUUCUAUUAGCUAGAUGGUAAGGUAACGGCUUACCAUGGCUACGAUAGAUAGGGGUCCUGAGAGGGAGAUCCCCCACACUGGUACUGAGACACGGACCAGACUCCUACGGGAGGCAGCAGUGAGGAAUAUUGGGCAAUGGAGGCAACUCUGACCCAGCCAUGCCGCGUGCAGGAAGACGGCCCUAUGGGUUGUAAACUGCUUUUAUACAGGAAGAAACACUCCCUCGUGAGGGAGCUUGACGGUACUGUAAGAAUAAGCACCGGCUAACUCCGUGCCAGCAGCCGCGGUAAUACGGAGGGUGCAAGCGUUAUCCGGAAUCAUUGGGUUUAAAGGGUCCGCAGGCGGUCAAUUAAGUCAGAGGUGAAAUCCCAUAGCUUAACUAUGGAACUGCCUUUGAUACUGGUUGACUUGAGUUAUACGGAAGUAGAUAGAAUGUGUAGUGUAGCGGUGAAAUGCAUAGAGAUUACACAGAAUACCGAUUGCGAAGGCAGUCUACUACGUAUAUACUGACGCUCAUGGACGAAAGCGUGGGGAGCGAACAGGAUUAGAUACCCUGGUAGUCCACGCCGUAAACGAUGGACACUAGUUGUUGGGAUUUAUCUCAGUGACUAAGCGAAAGUGAUA